GCGCCGUAUCCCGAGCGCUCCCCUGAGCGCGUGGUCCUGGUCGCGAGCACAUGGAAGUGAGGUCGAGAUUUGUCUGUGAGACGCGACUGAUUAUCAGAGAGAAAAAAAGGAUUAUAAAGCAGGAAAGAAGCAGCAGAAUGAGCACGAACAGCGCGGUAUGCGAGAGGCCUUUCACUGAAGUCUUACUUCAUGUGCAGAGAAGGAAACAGCUGUGGUUUGGUUACUGCGGAAACCAGGUGAGAGCAUGUGCUGUGUGUGCUCUGGCGAUGACAUCACACAUUCCAUGACGUGGACGUGGCAACAGAGAGAGGCGGAGAGGUGAGGGGCUGUCACUUUGCGUGGACAUUGUCCCUUCAGUGUGUGUGGCUAUAGGAGCGUCUGAUGUCCACUCCGGGCCACUUGUCUAUGAUGUGAAUGGGAAGACAAUAAGACCCCCAGUGGCUCCCUCUCUCCAUGACCCUCCUGGGGUCUGAUUUGCCUUGGCAAGGGGGACAGAAGCCCAAAACAAAGCUGAAGGAGUCUCCAGUGAAGGGGUGCAGAGGUCAGCCCCGACGCCCAGCUAACAGGCCCGUCCUCUAGUUUGGGCUCCUAAAUGGGGAAAGGACACAGAGGCGUAGAGACAAUGGGAUAAAAGGAACCUCCAAAACCAUUAAAUUCUGAGGAAGUGAUGGCCGUGAAUGAUGACAGAGACUGAAUAGGGGCUCUUGAGGUGGGAGGUACGCUCCUUUAAUGACCAUGGAUGCUCCAUUAUGGCAGCCCUGGGAGGUGGUGAUGAGGUGGUACAUUUUCUCCCAUUAGGCCUCUCUUCUCCGAGCAAGGAGACACUUCCAGAUUGAUGCAGGAAUCCCGGUCGGAGCUUCGAGGAUCCCCCCGCUGGGAGCCCUCGACGGAGGGAGACAACGUGACAACAUGCCAGGCCCCCUCCAGAGGAAGGACGAGUCAAAUUACUGUUUGCGUGACGUUGAGCCUUUCAUUGCUCCACACUUUGAUUGAUGGACUUUCCCUUUUUACAUUGAGCCUAUAAGAGGACGUGGUCAUAAAGUUCAUGGCUGAUAAUGGAUACACUUCUGAUUGACACAAACAAUAACUGUCUGAUUUUGCAAAGGCUAAAAGGGAUCAGCACUGUUAAUGAUGAUUCAUUCAUUUCUCUCUGUCAGCGCUAAUACGAAGGACAAACAGUAGACAUACAUGUGUUUAAGUCGGCUGAAUACAUUGCUCCUCCAUAUAUUAAACCUUAAAUCCCUCCUGAAGCCGCUUAUAUAGGUGUCUGCGUAAAGAUUAUAUAACCAGCAUAUGUUGCUGGUUUCUCAGGACUGUGUGUUCAAUCCUUCUCAUGUGGACAGAUUCUUUAUUCUUCCAUGUGAUCGUCAGACAUUAAACAAAGCCGUAUGUUUUUAAUAGAUGUAAUGUAAAUAACAUGUAGCAGAAAGCAGCACAUCUUAGGGACGAGUGAUGUCAUGAUCUUUUGAAUAACGACAGGAUAACAAGGUGUUUUGUUAAGAGGUCUUCAAGAUGGUAUAUUUUCAUUCAGCAUUGGACAAAGUUUCCUGAUCCUCCCUCUCCUCCACUGUGACUUGAAAACUAAUUUAUUUUCCUGAAAAUCUUCACAUGCUUUCCUGAAACUCCCCCGUCUUCUACUUGGACCUCAUCCUGCAGCUGUGAAGUUUAAAAAAAAAAAAAAAAAAAGAAGCUUUUUCCUGCCUGAAUCCCUUGUUCCCCUCUCUUAAAAGGUACCUGUUUUUCACCCUGGGAACACGGGGAGUAUUUUAAAAUAACUGCCUUGAAUAACUUUUCAUGAUGUCUGAAUGGGACCGCCUCCUAAGGCUUUGUGGUCACUGAGUACUCACCUUUUAUCAGUUAAAAGCUCACGUGUACUUUGCAUUGAACACUGAAAGUUUGUUUGUUUGGUACAAUUUGCAACCAAAUUAAUCAAAGUUUUUCUGAAGCUACACAUGCUGUAGAGUGAAAUACCCGUAAUGAGCUUAAUGGCAAAAAUGAAUAUGUAAAUGAGUCACGUUUUAUAAAUCAUUUUGAUUGAGGAGCAUAAUUACAUUCAGAGUG